UGUCGUCAACCACAUACACAACUGAAUGUGAAGACAAUUAUCAAGGACACUUAUGUUUGCUCAAAGCACUUCAGAGAUGGGAAGCCAACUCUGGAAUAUCAGAUCCCAUCCGGGCUCUCGUGUGUGCUGCUCCGAAAAGACACAGACCCUCACCCAAGAGAAGAAAUCUGCAGGGGGUUUUCUACAGUAUUUCGCCUUCACAUGUUCGGCAGUGCUGUUCUCAACGGGACUGAUCAUCCUCAAGUGCAGCAGACCGACGGAGACGAGACGACGGAGUGUGUUGAAGCGGCCUAUAUGAACAACUACAAUCCCCGGUUCAGGUGGCGACUGGCGCGCUAACGGAGCUCCAGGAGGGAAAACCUUUGCGACGCUGAGGUUCGGCUGAUUUGCAAAGAUAUCAUAUGAAAUGCAAAUAUUGUGAUUUCGUCAGCUCAAGUCAUGAGAGUGUACUGAGGCACCAACGACUUCGGCACGGAAGAGGAAAUCACUGGCCCUGUGCCUACACCGACUGUGUCUGCACCUUCAGAACCUAUGGGGCAUUGAGACAUCUGACAUUGCACAGCAACGAAUGAGAAUGUGUCUGGAAGGUCUGCCCUUAUUUGUCUGUGACAGUGCAGAGAAGCUCUUCCUGAAAUGCCUGGACACUGAUCCGGAAGAAAAGCAGACUGCUGGUGUCAAGAUGGGAGUCCUCACUGUUCUCGUAGAUGAUGGUGGACCUACCCCGUCUCAAAUGGUCAACAGUAUUGCUGUUGUCUUGGAAGAGACAAUUGUACUCUUGGAUCUACCAGACAUCCCAACUGCAUUUGUCUACCUUUUUGGUCUACUCUAUGCCCUGAACAUUGAGUUUCCAAAAGAACACAAGUACACUUUUGAGACUGUUCAGCACAUCUUCAUGGGACUUUCCACCAGUUGCUCACAGCGGAUCAGGAGUUUGAAAACAAAGCUCUUAAUCUAAGUGAGCAUUGGCAAAUUCAAAAACGGAUUCACAAGAUGUCCCCAUUUCAUUUUCCUGCCUUCACCGCUGUUUGUGACUUGAACAUUCAGUUCCCAAAACCAAACUAACCCAACUAACUAACUAAACCAACUAACUAACCCAAAUAACCCAAGUUCUUUAUCUUUACAGAUAAAAUGUUAACUAGUGACAUGAACAUCUAGCUACAUUUUCAAAGACAUGUUCUCACUCUUAAGGCACAAGCACCCUUUUUCUCUAACAUUAUUUCACAUUUUUCUCAAGCUGGCUUGCAUACUCGUUGUUGUAAUAUUGCAAGGACUAGUUAGUAGUUACUGCCACAAUUGUUGUCUUGCAGCUGUUUUUUUUUUGUAUAAAGAGCCAUAUGAGUAGUGGAAGAGUUGGAAAUGGUGUGGUCCCUCAGAGUUGUGUUGGGAGAAAUCACUGGCUGUUUACAUGCCGUUUUACAGAUUGUUCAUUUUCGUUAUUAAACACUAACUUUGGCAUAUAACUUUGCCAUUUGUUAUUCCAUAGCUGCUAUUGUUUUGACAGCAGGCUUAUUCAAAGGGUGGUUUGCACAUUUUUAUGGAACCCUAGCCUUAUGGAAGACUUUUAGUGAUGGUGUAUUUUCAAUGUUGUUACACAUAUUCAGUAUCAUUGGAAAUCUUUGUUUUUUACAGUAUUUUUAUAACAGAAGUUUGUAAUAAAAAAUCUGAAUUUUG